rnacentral:rRNA from 1 species
ACGAUGACGGUGGUGCUUGCACCGCCUGAUUAGUGGCGAACGGGUGAGYAACACGUGAGUAACCUGCCCUCCACUUCGGGAUAACCUCGGGAAAUCGUGGCUAAUACCGGAUAUGAGCACUCAUCGCAUGGUGRGUGYUGGAAAGAUUUAUCGGUGGGGGAUGGACUCGCGGCCUAUCAGUUUGUUGGUGAGGUGAUGGCUCACCAAGACGAUGACGGGUAGCCGGCCUGAGAGGGCGACCGGCCACACUGGGACUGAGACACGGCCCAGACUCCUACGGGAGGCAGCAGUGGGGAAUAUUGCACAAUGGGCGAAAGCCUGAUGCAGCGACGCCGCGUGGGGGAUGACGGCCUUCGGGUUGUAAACCCCUUUCAGUAGGGAAGAAGCGAGAGUGACGGUACCUGCAGAAGAAGCGCCGGCUAACUACGUGCCAGCAGCCGCGGUAAUACGUAGGGCGCAAGCGUUGUCCGGAAUUAUUGGGCGUAAAGAGCUUGUAGGUGGCUUGUCGCGUCUGCCGUGAAAACCCGAGG